GAAUUUCUCCGCAUGGCUUCGAAAGGAGUGACCAUUACAGUUCGCCUCAUUCGUUCAUUCGAGCAUCGCAAUUUCAGGCCUGUAGUAUAUCAUGGAGUUAAUUUGGACCAAACUACAAAGGAAUUUAUAUUAUUUCUAAAGCAAGAUAUUCCUUUAAGGACCAGCCUGCCACCACCAUUCAGAAAUUAUAAAUAUGAUAAACUAAAGAUUGUUCAUCAAGCACAUAGAGCAAAGUCGAACGAGCUUGUGUUGAGUCUGGAAGACGAUGAUACGCUCAUGCUGGAAGAAGACAGCACACUGCGCACCGCUGGAAUCGGAGCGCUUUAAAAAUUAAUGUAGCCAAGGAGAAAAAGUAACUCGAUUUGAAGGAAACGUUGAUAAAAAGACAAUAAGGCUCCUGCGCUCUCUGGAAUGGCAGAAAUGGAGAAGGGGAGCUAAGAUCUGAUAAGCUCUUCAUGAAGAACGUGUUUGUAAAUUAUGAGACAGUAAUGGGAAGUACAGUGCCAACCCAGCACACCACCUAAGAAGAAAGUUCAUGAGCACCUUCCUUAUCUCAUUCUCGAUGCUUCCCUGGAAAGGAAAACCAUCCUGAAUUUUGGGGUUCUCAUUCCCUUCCCUUUAGCAUGUAGUUUUAAAAAAUCCCAUAGGUAUGUAUUCCAUCCUAAAUUUUGUAUUUACCACCCUUGCUUCCCUAAAAUAGUUUUAAAAAUCACAUAUCUGUGUAGACUUCUACCAACAAUGUAUUAUAUAGCCUAUGCUUGGUUUCUGAGGUUUAUAAAAAUGGUUUCCUACAGCUUUUUCUUGAUUUCUUUCUUCUUCUUCUUCUUUUUUUCUAUUGGCAUUUUUAAGUCUCUAUUUUGUUUCUAAGAUUCACUGGAGCAAUGAGCAAUGGGUGGUUUGUUUUCAUUACUGGAUAAUUGGCCAUCAUCUGAAUAGUUCAGUUUAUUCAUGUGUUUCCCUGUCAGUGGGAUUGGGGCUGUUUCCAUUUUGGAGCAAUUAUGAAUAAUACUUCUGUGAACAUUCUUGUUUAAAACUUUAGUUGUUGACAUAGCAUUAUAUGCUCACACAUGUACAUGUAUAUAGAGCAUAAAACUAAAUCAAAGUUAAUGAAUUAACAAGGGAAUGCAUUUAAACACCCCCGUGGCAAGGAGACUGAUUCUGACCCCAUCAGCCCAAAAUGCUCCCUUUUCCGAACACAGUGCUCUCCCUCCUGCAGCCUGAUUUUUGUGCUGACACCUGUUUUUGCUAAUUUGUCACCAGUCCAAAACGCUACAUUUCAGCUUUGCCUGUGUUUUCUUUUUUUAAAUGUCUUUUAAACUCCUGUAACCUGUAGGUUCCCCUUCCAUCUCCUCUCUUUCUUCUUAACAUUUUGAAGUAUUAGGCUACAGGGGCUCCUGGGUUGCUCAGUUGGUGAGGCGUCUGCCUUCGGCUCA